AUCCUUUGUGGUUCAUUAAGUGUGAUAAUUGGGUGUUUAUGCCAUUGUUGAGGUGUACCUCUCUUUAACUUUGGCACAUUACUCAUCUGACA
rfam:Ictidomys tridecemlineatus contig037465, whole genome shotgun sequence.